rnacentral:rRNA from 1 species
AGAACGAACGCUGGCGGCAGGCUUAACACAUGCAAGUCGAGCGCCCCGCAAGGGGAGCGGCAGACGGGUGAGUAACGCGUGGGAACAUACCCUCCGGUUCGGAAUAGCUCAGGGAAACUUGGAUUAAUACCGGAUACGGCCUAGCGGCGAAAGAUUCAUCGCCGGAGGAUUGGCCCGCGUCUGAUUAGCUAGUUGGUGGGGUAAUGGCCCACCAAGGCGACGAUCAGUAGCUGGUCUGAGAGGAUGAUCAGUCACAUUGGGACUGAGACACGGCCCAAACUCCUACGGGAGGCAGCAGUGGGGAAUAUUGGACAAUGGGCGCAAGCCUGAUCCAGCCAUGCCGCGUGAGUGAUGACGGCCUUAGGGUUGUAAAGCUCUUUCGCUUAGGGACGAUAAUGACGGUACCUAGACAAGAGCCCCGGCUAACUUCGUGCCAGCAGCCGC